rnacentral:rRNA from 1 species
CUAAGAAUAUUCCGCAAUGGGGGGAAACCCUGACGGAGCGACGCCGCGUGGAUGAUGAAGGCCGGAAGGUUGUAAAAUCCUUUUGUGAGUGAGGAAUAAGCAGGGCAAGUAAAGGCCGUGCGGUGACUGUAGCUCAUGAAUAAGCACCGGCUAAUUACGUGCCAGCAGCCGCGGUAACACGUAGGGUGCGAGCGUUGUUCGGAAUCAUUGGGCGUAAAGGGCAUGUAGGCGGAACUGCAAGCCCGGUGUGAAAACCCUGAGCUUAACUCAGGAACUGCGCCGGGAACUGCAGAACUGGAGUCACUGAGGGGAAACC